CCUACGGUGGCUGCAGUGGGGAAUAUUGCACAAUGGGCGCAAGCCUGAUGCAGCCAUGCCGCGUGUGUGAAGAAGGCCUUCGGGUUGUAAAGCACUUUCAGCGGGGAGGAAGGCGUUAAGGUUAAUAACCUUGUCGAUUGACGUUACCCGCAGAAGAAGCACCGGCUAACUCCGUGCCAGCAGCCGCGGUAAUACGGAGGGUGCAAGCGUUAAUCGGAAUUACUGGGCGUAAAGCGCACGCAGGCGGUCUGUCAAGUCGGAUGUGAAAUCCCCGGGCUCAACCUGGGAACUGCAUUCGAAACUGGCUGGCUAGAGUCUUGUAGAGGGGGGUAGAAUUCCAGGUGUAGCGGUGAAAUGCGUAGAGAUCUGGAGGAAUACCGGUGGCGAAGGCGGCCCCCUGGACAAAGACUGACGCUCAGGUGCGAAAGCGCGGGGAGCAAACAGGAUUAGAUACCUAGUAGUC
rnacentral:rRNA from 1 species